UACGUGGGGUGCAAGCGUUACUCGGAAUUACUGGGCGUAAAGCGUGCGUAGGCGGUCUGUCACGUCGGCUGUGAAAUCCCGAGGCUCAACCUCGGGUCUGCAGUCGAUACGGGCAAACUAGAGUAUUGCAGGGGAGACUGGAAUUCCUGGUGUAGCGGUGAAAUGCGCAGAUAUCAGGAGGAACACCGGUGGCGAAGGCGGGUCUCUGGGCAAUAACUGACGCUGAGGAGCGAAAGCGUGGGGAGCAAACGGG
rnacentral:rRNA from 1 species